UACGUAGGGUGCAAGCGUUAAUCGGAAUUACUGGGCGUAAAGCGUGCGCAGGCGGUUUUGUAAGUUUGUCGUGAAAUCCCCGGGCUCAACCUGGGAAUGGCGAUGAAGACUGCAAGGCUAGAAUCUGGCAGAGGGGGGUAGAAUUCCACGUGUAGCAGUGAAAUGCGUAGAGAUGUGGAGGAACACCGAUGGCGAAGGCAGCCCCCUGGGUCAAGAUUGACGCUCAUGCACGAAAGCGUGGGGAGCAAA
rnacentral:rRNA from 1 species